GAUGAACGCUGGCGGUGUGCUUAACACAUGCAAGUCGAACGGCAACACCAUAACAGCUUGCUCUUAUGGGUGGCCGGUUGCGGGCGUGUGAGGAAGGCAUCGGGAUCUACUUUUUCGGGUGGGAUAACGAAGGUGAACUUACGCUCAUACCGCAUACGACCUAGGAGUGAGAGCAGGAGAGCUUCUGACCUGUGGCGAGAGCUUGAGCCGAAGUCGGUUUAGCGAGUUGGCAGGGUAAAGGCCCACCAAGGCGGCGAGCCGUAGCUGGUAUGAGAGGGUGGUCAGGCACACUGGAACUGAGAGACGGUCCAGACUCCUACGGGAGGGAGCAGUGGGGAAUACUGGACAAUGGGGGCAAGGCCGAUCCAGCCAUACCGCGUGGGUGAAGAAGGCGCUCCGGUUGUAAAGACCUUUUGUUGGGAAAGAAAAGCAGCAGGAUAAUACCGCGCUGUUCUGACGGUACCCAAAUAAGAAGCACCGGCUAACUUCGUG
rnacentral:rRNA from 1 species